rnacentral:piRNA from 1 species
GCAAGAGCUCAUACAGAAAAACCCAAAG